rnacentral:rRNA from 1 species
GACGAACGCUGGCGGCGUGCCUAAUACAUGCAAGUCGCGCGGAUUUUUUGGGAGCUUGCCCUCAAAAAGUCAGCGGCGGACGGGUGAGUAACACGUGGGCAACCUGCCCGACAGACUGGGAUAACAUCCGGAAACGGAUGCUAAUACCGGAUAGUUUGCUUGAAGGCAUCUUCGAGCAUGGAAAGGCGCUACGGCGUCACUGUCGGAUGGGCCCGCGGCGCAUUAGCUAGUUGGUGGGGUAACGGCCCACCAAGGCAACGAUGCGUAGCCGACCUGAGAGGGUGACCGGCCACACUGGGACUGAGACACGGCCCAGACUCCUACGGGAGGCAGCAGUAGGGAAUCUUCCACAAUGGGCGAAAGCCUGAUGGAGCAACGCCGCGUGAGUGAUGAAGGCCUUCGGGUUGUAAAACUCUGUCUUCUGGGACGAACGGACAGGAGAGGGAAUGCUCUUGUUGUGACGGUACCAGAGGAGGAAGCCACGGCUAACUACGUGCCAGCCGCCGCAGUAACAC